rnacentral:rRNA from 1 species
UACGGAGGGUGCAAGCGUUAAUCGGAAUUACUGGGCGUAAAGCGCACGCAGGUGGCUGAGUCAGUCGAUUGUGAAAGCCCCGGGCUCAACCUGGGAAUUGCAUUCGAGACUGCAUUGCUGGAGUACGGAAGAGGAGGGCGGAAUUCCCGGUGUAGCGGUGAAAUGCGUAGAUAUCGGGAGGAACAUCAGUGGCGAAGGCGGCCCUCUGGUCCAGUACUGACACUCAAGUGCGAAAGCGUGGGGAGCAAACAGG